UAAUACGAAGGGUGCAAGCGUUACUCGGAAUUACUGGGCGUAAAGCGUGCGUAGGCGGUUUGUUAAGUCUGCCGUGAAAGCCCCGGGCUCAACCUGGGAAUUGCGGUGGAUACUGGCAAGCUAGAGUACGGUAGAGGAUGGUGGAAUUCCCGGUGUAGCAGUGAAAUGCGUAGAGAUCGGGAGGAACAUCUAUGGCGAAGGCAGCCAUCUGGACCAGUACUGACGCUGAGGCACGAAAGCGUGGGGAGCAAACAGGAUUAGAUACCCUGGUAGUCCACGCCCUAAACGAUGCGAACUGGACGUUGGGCUCAAUUGAGAGCUCAGUGUCGAAGCUAACGCGUUAAGUUCGCCGCCUGGGGAGUACGGUCGCAAGACUG
rnacentral:rRNA from 1 species